GUUGAUUCAUUUCGACAAGGGAACACCGGCACUAGCUAAUGUAAUCAAACAAGCAUUAGAAGGAAGCGAUGUUGUCACAAAGGUUGAAGCAACGAAAAAAAGCAGUAAUAUGAUUGUGCUGGAACCCUUGUUUCACUUUCAUCUGCACCAUUGGCUAUCAGGACUGCUGUCAACACCGAAACCACAGACUGACAACAGUGUUUAGCUUAUUGUGCUUGAUCGAUUGAAUGAGCUCAAAACAUGUCACAGAGAGAUUAUGGUUGAUAUGGUCAUGGAUGUGCUUAGAGUACUUGCAAGCCCAAAUUUUGAUAUCCGAAGGAAGGCAGUUGGCAUUGCUCUUGAGCUGAUAAGUCCAUGUAACAUUAAUGAUGUUCUUCAAGCACUGAAGAAGGAAGUUGUGAAGAUUCAGAGCACCGAGCUUGAGAAGAAUGGGGAAUACUGUCAAAUGCUUGUUCAAGCUAUGCAUUCUUGUGCAAUAAAAUUCCUGAAGUGGCAGCACUGUGGCUCAUUUGUUGGUGGAUUUCUUGGUGAUAGCAAUGUGGCCUGAUGUGGUUGUUUUCGUACACGAGAUUAUUGAGACCAACCUUAAACUUAGGGUUUCAAUUAUAACUAGGCUCUUGGACACAUUUUACCAGAUAGUGCGCCACGUGUAUGUUCUUGUGCUCUCUAGAUCAUUGGAGAGUAAUAUCUCUCGCUCUCUGGAGUUGAAAGUGGGCUUGCUACCAUUAAGCAAUGUCUAGGGAACCUGCCUUCACAAUGAACGAAGAAGGAGAUGGCACAGAUGCUUCAAAACCAUCGCAUCAAGUAAAUUCCAUCAUUGUAUCUUCUAGGAGACCUGCAAUUCUUGCUGGUGGUACCUAUGCUAGUGCUGCCUCGGAAACUGGCAUAUCUCCUUCUACUCUGACCAAAUAAAUUUGCACAUAUUGGUAAAAAGUCAAGAGAACAAUUUGAAAUGAGAUCAAGAGUCAAGUUCAGGAUAACCUAAGCAGAAUAAUAUUCAGGAAGUCUUGCUGCUAGUGAUAAUUGGAACGUGGUUUAUGCAGUGCAGGGUGGUAUUGUUCUUGCACCGAAUCAAGGGGAAUCAGUAAGAGCAUUUGUGGGAUAAGAGAAUUGGUGGAUACAUUUCUUGGUUUCAUACAAGCUGAUGACUGGUAGAAAGGUCUAAGACAGAUCGAAUCUCCAGUGAGUCCUGAGGAAGAGGCCUCCACCAUAGGCACGUUAGCAGUUUCCCUCUUGGAGCAGGGGAAGAUGCAUCUUUUCGACGGGAUUAGGUGUGAGUCAAGGUGAAGAUAGAGAUAAUCUCUCUUGGAAUGCCAUCAGUGUCACCGAAUGAAAGAGUUGGAAAGCACGUGGACCCCAUAGGAAUGGAAUGAAUUGAUUAGUGACCCAGUAACUAUAGUAAUUGAUGUUCAAAGUUCUAGGAUUGGGAAGUUUUAAAGGAGCUGUAGAUCCAUGUACGAUGGCCUUCCAGAAAUUACCAUCUUGGGUGGAUGAUAAUCUGUUACCAGCUGAGUCUAAUGGCGACAACAGCAGAUGGAGGCUGACGGGUCUGGUAAAAGUAGAACCAUCCACUGGCCAGGAAAGAAUAAUUUCACCGCAGGUUGCAAUGUACUGCACUCGCGGGGAUUUGUUGCUUCAAGUUUUCUCAAGAAAAAGGGCAUUGAAAGGAAUGUAUUCCCCUGAAAUUGAGUGGAUCUAGUGUUUUUUCAUUUGAGAAGUGGGAUAUUGAAGUAUGUAGAGGAAAUUCAGGAAACAGGGAGCCUUUGGGACGUGGAUUAUUUUGAGUCUCAGUUGAGCAUGGAUUAGCUUAAGGAACAACCUGUGAGUGAUGCUUACAUGGAAGCUCUAGAGUGGAAAUAUGGAGUUUCAUGCCCAUAUUUUUUCUCCACCAAAUCUGAUGAAGAGAAAGAUACGGCAAGAGGGGCACAGACAAUUCAUGCAAAGAAGAUGGGUUCUCCACAGAAAAUUUACUUGGAGUUGGAAGUUAUGGAUCUGUUUACAAGGAACUAUUAGUACUAAACCAAGUGGCACCGUCAGGUGUUGCAUGAAAGUACUAGACCUUCAAAGACGAGGAGCUUCAAAAAGUUUCAUCAGCAUCGAAAUCUAGUGAAGAUGCCGACUUGUUGCUCUAGUAUUGAUUUAAAGGAAAUGAAUUCAAAGCUCUAGUCUCCGAGUUCAUGCCAAAUGGAAAUAUUGAGAAUUGGUUGCAUCCAACAGUUAAUGAAGAGCAACUUCAAAGGUCAGCGAGGACAUCACUGGGGUUUAUGGAGUGACUAAAUGUAUCCAUUGAUGUUGCUUCUGCACUAGAUUAUCUUCAUCAAGAUUGUCAGACUCCAAUUUCUCAUUGUGAUCUAAAGCCAGAUACUACUUUACUUGACGAUAACAUGAAGGGUCAUGUUUGUUAUUCGGAUCAGGAAAGUUUCUUGGUGGGGUCAUCAUCACUGUUGAAUCUGAACCCGAUACGAACAGUACUUUGGUCGGGAUAAAGGGGUCGAUUGGUUAUGCUACUCCAGGUAGAAGUUUUGGCUCAAUUGGUUAUGCUGCUCCAGUUAUGGGAACUUGGUGCUAGAGUUGUUUCCCCAACGAGACCUACAGGUUGCAUGAUCACGGAUGGUUUAAGACUCGCUCAUUUGUUAAGACAGCUUCACUUAGAGAUCGUGAAUGCAGAUCGUUGACCUACAGUACUACUUGUUCCUGUCCAUCCCGAAGACAAUGAUGAUACCAACAAUGAAAUUCUAGUCGACAGCGUGCUGGAUGCCAAGUUAUACAAAACUUUAUCAGGGUUUGCCAACCUUGGCGUUGCGUCUUCUAUUGAAUCACCCAGAGAAAGGAUGGAAAUGGUACAGGUAGUGAAAGCGAUAAGAUCACAUAUCCCUCCAGAUUGGGAUCCAAUUAAGGUACAGUGCUGGCAACCAAUACUCAUUCCUAUGCAGGAAAAGCUAUUCCCUGAGGUAUCAUGAGAGAAACUUACAUUCAAGUCCUUUAAUGAGCAACAUGGUAAAAUUGUUGUAAUAAAUGUCUGUAGCUGGGAGUUGUUUCAAGGGAUUCUAGUCAAUUAAAAGGCAAAAAUGAUACAUUUACGUUUUAUAUGUAUAUUUGCAUCAUACAUGGCCUUUUUCUUAAAAAGCUGGGAAAAGCGAAAAUUUCUGCUAAUGC